rnacentral:rRNA from 1 species
AGCAGCCGCGGUAAUUCCAGCUCCAAUAGCGUAUAUUAAAGUUGUUGCAGUUAAAAAGCUCGUAGUUGAAUUUCGGGACCAAUUUGUUGGUCGUGCCUCGGUACGUACUGGUAUUAUUGGUUUCUCCCUUCUGAAGAACCAUGAUGCCAUUAAUUUGGUGUCGUGGGGAAUCAGGACUGUUACUUUGAAAAAAUUAGAGUGUUUAAAGCAGGCAUACGCUUGAAUACAUUAGCAUGGAAUAAUGAAAUAGGACGUUUGAUUCUAUUUUGUUGGUUUCUAGGAUCGACGUAAUGAUUAAUAGGGAUAGUUGGGGGCAUUAGUAUUCAAUUGUCAGAGGUGAAAUUCUUGGAUUUAUUGAAGACUAACUACUGCGAAAGCAUUUGCCAAGGAUGUUUUCAUUAAUCAAGAACGAAAGUUAGGGGAUCGAAGACGAUCAGAUACCGUCGUAGUCUUAACCAUAAACUAUGCCGACUAGGGAUCGGAUGAUGUUAAUUUUUAAUGUACUCAUUCGGCGCCUUAC